UUAACUGAUGAUAACCUUUUACAACAACAAUGAAUUUCUUCAACCAGAAAAAACCAUGUGGAUAAAAAUUUGACAGCUUUUUAACCCUGAAA
rnacentral:snoRNA from 1 species